UACGUAGGGUGCAAGCGUUGUCCGGAAUUAUUGGGCGUAAAGAGCUCGUAGGCGGUCUGUCGCGUCUGCUGUGAAAACCUAGGGCUUAACUCUGGGCGUGCAGUGGGGUACGGGCAGGUUUAGAGUGCGGUAGGGGGAGACUGGAAUUCCUGGUGUAGCGGUGAAAUGCGCAGAUAUCAGGAGGAACACCGGUGGCGAAGGCAGGUCUCUGGGCCGUAACUGACGCUGAGGAGCGAAAGCAUGGGGAGCGAACAGG
rnacentral:rRNA from 1 species